UGUGCUCGCUGUACUUCGUCCUUGCCAUUUGUCAUGAUGAUUUGAUGGUCCUUGGCUGUGACGUCACAAGAAUGGUUUUCUGGAUGAGAAAAGAAAGAUGUUUUCAGGUGAAGGCCAGCAUAGAUUAUUUUCCCCAGUUAAAAGACACUUAGAUCUGUGGAUGUGAAUUUUGGAUUUAUAAGGUGCUCAAAUUUCCAGAAGAAUUCACAAAGAAAUUCAGUCCACGAGAUUCCAGCCAUUUCAGAGGUCUAAGUUUGGUAAUCCAUAUCUUCCAUGGGGUAAAGGUGUCAAGGUUUUUCUGGAGCCGGGGUAUUGAAGAUUAUGCAUAUCUCACUAGGCCUAGUUGCCAGUUGAAUACGUUGCUUUAAGCCUAAGAUACAUAUUUAAUGAGGUGAGAAGUUGUUCCUGGUGGACUGACGCUGCUGAAUUUGAUAUUAGUGUCGCUUGUCAUAGUAUGAUUAUUUGUUAUUCAAAUUUAUGCUUAGUUUUUAAAUGUAUGAAUAUGUAUAAAAGUUUUAACUUGCGUAACUAUCGGCGUAUUCCCUUAAUACAAACUUUAAUAAAUGUCUGAAUACUUAA